CAAAAGAUAGUUUAGUAAAAAUUUCGGCUUUGGGGGCCGAGGAUGGAGGUUUUAGUCCUUCUUUUUUGA